GAGUGGCUGAGCGGUAGAGCGGGGGGCUGCGCUGCCGUAGGUCGUGGGUUCGAAUCUCAGUGGCAACA
rnacentral:tRNA from 1 species